AUCUGGCUGAGAUAAUAAUUAUCCGCAUUACACAUGAUGAUAUGUUUGAUCCUCGGAUCAUGCAGCAUUGUCAUUGGGGGAGCCGUGAGCAGGCUUCGAUCCCACGAUUU
rnacentral:rRNA from 1 species